GGUUGCUUCAUCAAGUAACAGUAUUUUUGGGUCCCGAAGAAGAGCUCUUGCUAUCGCAAUUCGUUGCUUUUGACCUCCAGACAUUUGGAAACCAAACUGACCGACCUGAAAAGAAGUCGACAUACCAAAGUUGAUAACUAGUUUUCGAGCCGUGAAGUCUUAGACAGCAGCCUAAUUCUGUCCAUCAUAAUCUUGCCGAACACAAGCCCUGGACCAAUGAACAUGGCCGAGAGCGGGAUGACUGCAAAGGUGAAUUUCCACGAUACUAUAAAGGCAAAUACGUGGCAGAAGAAGAAUGUUGACAUAGUUUUCCAUAAGAAAAGGCAACAUAACAAAGAGGAGCAAGCCUUACCUUGUCAACCAUAUCGUUUGUCAAGCCACUGUUCUU